rnacentral:rRNA from 1 species
AUUGAACGCUGGCGGCAGGCCUAACACAUGCAAGUCGAACGAGUCGCGGAGGGGUGUGUAGUGUGUGGGACACUGCCCGAUGGAGGGGGAUAUCUUCUGGAAACGGUCGCUAAUACCGCAUACCCUCGUCUGUGCCCAGAUGGGAUUAGCGAGUAGGUGGGGUAACGGCUCACCUAGGCGACGAUCCCUAGCUGGUCUGAGAGGAUGACCAGCAACACUGGAACUGAGACACGGCCCAGACUCCUACGGGAGGCAGCAGUGGGGAAUAUUGCACAAUGGGCGCAAGCCUGAUGCAGCCAUGCCGCGUGUAUGAAGAAGGCCUUCGGGUUGUAAAGUACUUUCAGCGAGGAGGCGUUACUCGCAGAAGAAGCACCGGCUAACUCCGUGCCAGCAGCCGCGGUAAUUC